UUGUGGGAAAGCCUUCACCACUUCCAGUUCUUGUACCGUUCAUGAAAGAAUUCACACUGGAGAGAAGCCGUAUGUGUGUAGGUAUUGUGGCAAAACCUUUGCCGUUCCGAGCUCUCGUAACACUCAUGAACGAACUCACACUGGAGAGAAGCCGUACGCAUGUAAGCACUGUGAAAGAACCUUCUCCAGUGCCAGCUGGCGUAACACUCAUGAGAAGGGUCACACCGGACAGAAGCCUUAUGCAUGCAAGCACUGUGAAAAAACCUUCUUCAGCUCUGGUUCUCGCAACUCUCAUGAAAGAAGUCACUCUGGAGUGAAACCCUUUGCUUGUAAAACAUGUGGGAAAACGUUCCUUCUCUCACACCAUCUUAUCAUGCAUGAAAGAACUCACACCGGAGAGAAGCCUUAUGCUUGUGAGCAUUGUGAGAAAGCCUUCACAA
rnacentral:lncRNA from 1 species